ACGCUCGACACCUACGGGAGGCAGCAGUGGGGAAUAUUGCACAAUGGGGGAAACCCUGAUGCAGCGACGCCGCGUGAGCGAAGAAGUAUUUCGGUAUGUAAAGCUCUAUCAGCAGGGAAGAAAGUGACGGUACCUGACUAAGAAGCACCGGCUAAAUACGUGCCCGCAGCCGCGGUAAUCUGAGCGGGCUGGCAAGGC
rnacentral:rRNA from 1 species